GACGAACGCUGGCGGCGUGCUUAACACAUGCAAGUCGAACGGAAAGGCCCUGCUUUUGUGGGGUGCUCGAGUGGCGAACGGGUGAGUAACACGUGAGUAACCUGCCCUUGACUUUGGGAUAACUUCAGGAAACUGGGGCUAAUACCGGAUAGGAGCUCCUGCUGCAUGGUGGGGGUUGGAAAGUUUCGGCGGUUGGGGAUGGACUCGUGGCUUAUCAGCUUGUUGGUGGGGUAGUGGCUUACCAAGUCUUUGACGGGUAGCCGGCCUGAGAGGGUGACCGGCCACAUUGGGACUGAGAUACGGCCCAGACUCCUACGGGAGGCAGCAGGGGGGAAUAUUGCACAAUGGGCGGAAGCCUGAUGCAGCGACGCCGCGUGCGGAAUGACGGCUUUCGGGUUGUGAACCGCUUUCGCCUGUGACGAAGCGUGAGUGACGGUAAUGGGUAAAGAAGCACCGGCUAACUACGUG
rnacentral:rRNA from 1 species